UACGGGGGGGGCAAGCGUUGUUCGGAAUUACUGGGCGUAAAGGGCUCGUAGGCGGCCAACUAAGUCAGACGUGAAAUCCCUCGGCUUAACCGGGGAACUGCGUCUGAUACUGGAUGGCUUGAGGUUGGGAGAGGGAUGCGGGAAUUCCAGGUGUAGCGGUGAAAUGCGUAGAAUAUCUGGAGGAACACCGGUGGCGAAGGCGGCAUCCCUGGACCAAUUCUGACGCUGA
rnacentral:rRNA from 1 species